GAUGAACGCUAGCUACAGGCUUAACACAUGCAAGUCGAGGGGCAGCAUGGAAGAAGCUUGCUUCUUCUGAUGGCGACCGGCGCACGGGUGCGUAACGCGUAUCAAACCUGCCUCAUACUCGGGGAUAGCCUUGCGAAAGUAAGAUUAAUACCCGAUGUUGUUAUGUUACCGCAUGGUGAUAUAACCAAAGAUUUAUCGGUAUGAGAUGGUGAUGCGUCCGAUUAGGUAGUAGGCGGGGUAACGGCCCACCUAGCCUUCGAUCGGUAGGGGUUCUGAGAGGAAGGUCCCCCACACUGGAACUGAGACACGGUCCAGACUCCUACGGGAGGCAGCAGUGAGGAAUAUUGGUCAAUGGACGCAAGUCUGAACCAGCCAAGUAGCGUGCAGGAUGACGGCCCUCCGGGUUGUAAACUGCUUUUAGUUGGGAAUAAAAAAGGGGACGUGUCCUCUAUUGUAUGUACCUUCAGAAAAAGGACCGGCUAAUUCCGUGCCAGCAGCCGCGGUAAUACGGAAGGUCCAGGCGUUAUCCGGAUUUAUUGGGUUUAAAGGGAGCGUAGGCGGAUUAUUAAGUCAGUGGUGAAAGACGGUGGCUCAACCAUCGUUAGCCAUUGAAACUGGUAGUCUUGAGUGCAGACAGGGAUGCUGGAACUCGUGGUGUAGCGGUGAAAUGCUUAGAUAUCACGAUGAACUCCGAUCGCGAAGGCAGGUGUCCGGGCUGCAACUGACGCUGAGGCUCGAAAGUGUGGGUAUCAAACAGG
rnacentral:rRNA from 1 species